rnacentral:lncRNA from 1 species
UCUGUGAUUUUGUGGGACCCCCAAGCUUCAGAUCAAGAUACUAGUUUCCCUCAUUUUAGAUCUAUAUCACUAUGUCCCCCAAUAUCCUGGUGCAAUUUCUCUUAUCCCCCAAAAGUGGACUCUAUUUUUCUGAAGUCUCAAAUUCAUUUAUCACAGUUCCCACAUUUGUUGAAUCUCCCCUGGGUGUCCCUACUUCGGGACAAUUGUUCUCCGGGCUGCAAAUCAGAGAUCUGUCGUGUAAUUCUGAAAUUUGGGCAUUGUUCCCGGCCCGGCGGCUGCCCUCGGCUUCCCCAAUCCCGUGCACCGCGGGUACUGGUUUCAGGCCUCUUAGUGUCUCCUACGGAGUCCCCAGAGCAACUCGGAUUUUGGAAAUUUUCUUUCUGUACCCCAAACACACUCCGGAACUCAGUUCGAUCGCCAGGACGUGGGCCGUUCUUCUCUCAUAUCCAGGAAAACGACUGGGCAUUGUCCCCCAGUUCCCCCCCAAAUUUGGGCAUUGUCCCUAAGUCUUCCAACGGACUGGGCGUUGCCCCCGGACAUUGGGGACUGCCCCCCGGGGUCUCGCUCACCUUCAGCAGCGUCCACCGCCCGCCACAGAGCGCUCGCCCGCCCGCAGCCUCAGCUCUUCGUGCGCCCGCGGACGCAGCUUCCAGCUUCGCGGAGAUGGUUUCCCCAGACCCCCAGAUUAUCGUGGUGGCCCCCGGGGCUGAACCUGUGUCUACGCAAGUCCAACGCACUGAGGACGGGGGAAGCAUUAUCCGAACAUUUUGGGUGGGCCUCAAAGGCGAGCUGCUUAGACGCAUCCCGGUGAGCUCGGUCCUGCAGGUAGGAGUUAAGCUUCUUUCUCCUCGGGAGAGCACAGCCUUUGCAGGCAGGCUCCAUGCCUAGUCCAGAUUGGGCUGGGCCCAGCCAGCCUUCCCCGCUCCCCGUAGCUGGAAGCUGCGGAGCCUGCUCUGGGCUCCCGCGCGGCACCGGGGGGCGCUCGGGAUCCGGCUGCGACUAGAGGUGCCUCGCAGCCCGCUCCUAUAUCGCUCGGGCAGGUGGCUGCCUCACACCCCACCCGAGCUCGGGGAUCUUUCCUCCGUCGUUAGCCACCAGCGGGGACCCGGGACCCAGCGUCAGGUCACCUGCGCCCAUGCGCUGGCCAGACACCCCCGCCAGGUAGCCCACGGGCGGGGCACCAGGACCAUCAUUACUGCUAAGGCAUGGGACGAUGCCUGUGCCUGCUUGCCUCACGCCCCCAGCUCUGGAGCACAGGGCGCCCUGAUACCCCAGAAACCCGAGAGGAGGCCCCUAGAAUUCUUUAGAAUAGAGAUAAGGGGGUUCGUUCACCUUCUCCAUAUCCCAGCCCCCCACCCCAGCUUUGAGUCCAG